rnacentral:rRNA from 1 species
UACGGAGGGAGCUAGCGUUGUUCGGAAUUACUGGGCGUAAAGCGCACGUAGGCGGCUUUGUAAGUUAGAGGUGAAAGCCUGGAGCUCAACUCCAGAAUUGCCUUUAAGACUGCAUCGCUUGAAUCCAGGAGAGGUGAGUGGAAUUCCGAGUGUAGAGGUGAAAUUUGUAGAUAUUCGGAAGAACACCAGUGGCGAAGGCGGCUCACUGGAGCUGGUAUUGACGCUGAGGUGCGAAAGCGUGGGGAGCAAACAGG